AGAUGAAGCGUGACGCUGAUGUCCCAGUGGUGUGCCAAACGCAUGCUGCGAUUUAGAGUGCACACAUACCCACAGCGGAGCUCCCGGGCACAGACAGCCGCACAAAGGGGCACCAACGUCAGCGGUCAGUGCUCACCAAUGGUGAAGAAGGUGCACCGACGUCAGUGGUCAGUGCUCACCAACGAUGAAGAGGGUGCACCAACGUCAGCGGUCAGUGCUCACCAACGAUGAAGAAGGUGCACCAACGUCAGCGGUCAGUGCUCACCAACGAUGAAGAAGGUGCACCAACGUUAGCGGUCAGUGCUCGGGGUGUCGGGGUUUACAUGCCAUAGCAAGAGGAGCUACCGCUAAG